rnacentral:rRNA from 1 species
GAUGAACGCUGGCGGCGUGCCUAAUACAUGCAAGUCGAGCGAACGGACGAGAAGCUUGCUUCUCUGAUGUUAGCGGCGGACGGGUGAGUAACACGUGGAUAACCUACCUAUAAGACUGGGAUAACUUCGGGAAACCGGAGCUAAUACCGGAUAAUAUUUUGAACCGCGUGGUUCAAAAGUGAAAGACGGUCUUGCUGUCACUUAUAGAUGGAUCCGCGCUGCAUUAGCUAGUUGGUAAGGUAACGGCUUACCAAGGCAACGAUGCAUAGCCGACCUGAGAGGGUGAUCGGCCACACUGGAACUGAGACACGGUCCAGACUCCUACGGGAGGCAGCAGUAGGGAAUCUUCCGCAAUGGGCGAAAGCCUGACGGAGCAACGCCGCGUGAGUGAUGAAGGUCUUCGGAUCGUAAAACUCUGUUAUUAGGGAAGAACAUAUGUGUAAGUAACUGUGCACAUCUUGACGGUACCUAAUCAGAAAGCCACGGCUAACUACGUGCCAGCAGCCGCGGUAAUACGUAGGUGGCAAGCGUUAUCCGGAAUUAUUGGGCGUAAAGCGCGCGUAGGCGGUUUUUUAAGUCUGAUGUGAAAGCCCACGGCUCAACCGUGGAGGGUCAUUGGAAACUGGAAAACUUGAGUGCAGAAGAGGAAAGUGGAAUUCCAUGUGUAGCGGUGAAAUGCGCAGAGAUAUGGAGGAACACCAGUGGCGAAGGCGACUUUCUGGUCUGUAACUGACGCUGAUGUGCGAAAGCGUGGGGAUCAAACAGGAUUAGAUACCCUGGUAGUCCACGCCGUAAACGAUGAGUGCUAAGUGUUAGGGGGUUUCCGCCCCUUAGUGCUGCAGCUAACGCAUUAAGCACUCCGCCUGGGGAGUACGACCGCAAGGUUGAAACUCAAAGGAAUUGACGGGGACCCGCACAAGCGGUGGAGCAUGUAGUUUAAUUCGAAGCAACGCGAAGAACCUUACCAAAUCUUGACAUCCUUUGACAACUCUAGAGAUAGAGCCUUCCCCUUCGGGGGACAAAGUGACAGGUGGUGCAUGGUUGUCGUCAGCUCGUGUCGUGAGAUGUUGGGUUAAGUCCCGCAACGAGCGCAACCCUUAAGCUUAGUUGCCAUCAUUAAGUUGGGCACUCUAAGUUGACUGCCGGUGACAAACCGGAGGAAGGUGGGGAUGACGUCAAAUCAUCAUGCCCCUUAUGAUUUGGGCUACACACGUGCUACAAUGGACAAUACAAAGGGCAGCGAAACCGCGAGGGCAAGCAAAUCCCAUAAAGUUGUUCUCAGUUCGGAUUGUAGUCUGCAACUCGACUACAUGAAGCUGGAAUCGCUAGUAAUCGUAGAUCAGCAUGCUACGGUGAAUACGUUCCCGGGUCU